GGGGAAUAUUGGACAAUGGGCGCAAGCCUGAUCCAGCCAUGCCGCGUGAGUGAUGAAGGCCCUAGGGUUGUAAAGCUCUUUCACCGGUGAAGAUAAUGACGGUAACCGGAGAAGAAGCCCCGGCUAACUUCGUGCCAGCAGCCGCGGUAAUACGAAGGGGGCUAGCGUUGUUCGGAAUUACUGGGCGUAAAGCGCACGUAGGCGGACAUUUAAGUCAGGGGUGAAAUCCCGGAGCUCAACUCCGGAACUGCCUUUGAUACUGGGUGUCUUGAGUAUGGAAGAGGUAAGUGGAAUUCCGAGUGUAGAGGUGAAAUUCGUAGAUAUUCGGAGGAACACCAGUGGCGAAGGCGGCUUACUGGUCCAUUACUGACGCUGAGGUGCGAAAGCGUGGGGAGCAAAC
rnacentral:rRNA from 1 species